UACAGAGGGUGCAAGCGUUGUUCGGAAUUAUUGGGCGUAAAGAGCUCGUAGGCGGCCUGUUGCGUUCCGCUGUGAAAUCCCGGGGCUCAACCCCGGGCCUGCAGUGGAUACGGGCUGGCUAGAGGCAGGCAGGGGAGAACGGAAUUCCUGGUGUAGCGGUGAAAUGCGCAGAUAUCAGGAGGAACACCGGUGGCGAAGGCGGUUCUCUGGGCCUGUACUGACGCUGAGGAGCGAAAGCAUGGGGGAGCGAACAGG
rnacentral:rRNA from 1 species